AAAAUAUCUUGAUACUUUGAUUUUAGCUGUCAUGUAGAUAUUGAUUGAGUGACACACCAGCAAUUCAACUGUAUCUCAGACAAUGACUGUGUAUUGGCCUAUCUGGGGCACAAAAGGCAGGCAACCAUCCUCUUUGAUGACUCAUCAAAUAACCCUAAAUAAAUCAAUAGUAUUUUUCUUUGAAGCAGAUCAGUACUGACUAAAAGACCCCCAUCUUGCAGUCCAUACAAGUGGGCCAGCUAAGUGCCUGUUAAUUAGCUAAGAUGAUCAUUUUCAUCAACAAAUGUUUCAGGAAGAUGUUGCUGCACCUCUGUUGCUAUGAUGUUUGCACCUGUGUACAUAACUAUGGAAACUCUCUUUUCUCCAUAGCUGCUAGGAGAAUGUGAGUGAGAUAAGUCAUUCUAAGGAUAUUGGAAGAAAUAAGCCAUGAAAUAAAAGAUUUUCUUCACUCUCUGCUGAUCCUCAGAUAACUGGCAUUAUACUUGCGCUUAAAGUCAAGAAUGUCUCUAGUGCAGUAGUGUGGGCACCUGUUGCUCCUUUGCCUGUAAUUCCUGCACUGUGCAGCCUUGUAAAAGGGAUCCUGACCCUUUCGUCCACCUCAUGACAGCACAACACUACUGCAAGUUGGGAAAGGAGUUUGCUGGACAGAAAUAUCAGGGGCCUGUACUAAUACACAUGAAGAAAAAGAAGGUGACAUUUGCACUUACAAGAGGAAAAGAAGAGGACAUGAUAUGUGGAUUGGCAUGUAGCUGGGGGUGGUUUCAUGUCUAUCACCAGACCUUUAACUCAAGUCUAUGGGAAACUUCUGCUGCAACCUCCUGGAAAUCAGCACAGAGGCAGACAAAAAAUAGCCAAUGCUAUGAGAACAUUGCUAAAAAAGCCUUUUUUUGGUGGGGAUGAGGUGGGGGUGAGCAGCUGUAAACUAUACUUCUUCCUGCGCAACUAAAUGCCACGGUAUCAUCAAGCAGCUCAGGAAUGAGUAAUACAUCUCCUUCACAUCAAUGUCAAUAAAAACAUUGUACCAUAACA
rnacentral:lncRNA from 1 species